GUGGAAACGAGAAUAAAGCGUGAAGGAUAACGUUGCGUCAGCAACGGCCCGUAGGGCGAGGCGAAGCCGAGUCAUCCUGCACGACCCACCA
rnacentral:sRNA from 2 species